rnacentral:misc_RNA from 1 species
UCAUUUAUUUUAUAUUGUUUUUUAGGUUAUCUUUCUUAUUUUAUAGUCUACGAGGUUCCGAACGGUGCCUCGGUUUUUUAUAGCUGGUUUUACAGCGCUAAACUAUUGCCUAUUUCUACGACCAUUCUCUAGUGCCUUUCAUCAGCUAUAACACAGCCGUGAUCGGCCCAACACCAGCCUUCGUACGCUAACAGGCAUAAUACAUGUUGGGAUUCUUAUUGUCUUCAAAAGAUAACACAAGUAAUCCCCACAAAUGAAAAAUCUAAGAUCUUAUUCGUUAUUUUUUAAUCGCAGCAUGCAGAGACCUAAACAAAUUUCAAAUUGUGCGCUAAAGAUUAAGACCCCAAUUAAUGACAAUAGAAUCGCUAGGUUUAUUGUCUCUAGUUCAUUUUUUACUUAUACAUUAUAUAUAAUGACUUGAUCAGUAUUUUAUUUGUCGCUUUUUGUACUUUGUUGGACGUAAUCGUCCAUUCCUCGCUGCAUAUUCUCGCCGUCUUCCUCUGUUCUCUGUUUUGUUAUGUUUUAUCAAAAUUUAUGAAGUGUUCAUUUUAUUUUAUGAUUAUCAAUGUUAACAAUGUAUAAAUUUUACUUAAUAUAAUUCAUUUUAAAUUAAAAGACGUAAUUAAGAUU